AACCCUGAUUCUUUUCCCUUCCAAAUUCCAGCGUUUCUUUCUUGUCCUUCUCGUCUUUGAUUGAUUAUUGGCUCGUCGACUUUGUCUCUUCUCCUUCCCCUUCCAAGGAUAGAUUGCAAUAGUCAACCUUCAGAAAGUCAUUCAAUAGGUGCCGCACAAUCGAGCCGUGCAAAGACUGACCGUGCAUGAGAAGACUUUUCUUCAACUCAUGAUAUUGACGGUAAAGCACGUUUCACAUGUCUUUGUUGCAACAAUAGCUUUAAAGGUGGUGGAAUUAACAGAAUAAAGUAUCAUCUUGCUGGAAUUAAAAGUCAAAUAUCUCAACGUAAGAAAGUUACUUAUGAUGUUCGAUUUAAAUUUCAAGGUAUUCUUAGGGAUUUAUCUAAAAAGAAACAAGAUGCUAAAGAGGCUCAUGAUUGUACGUUUAAGGACAAUUAUAUAGAUUUAGAAACUGGAGGAGAGGAAAUAGAAGAGGUUAUUCAAGAAAUGAAUAUAUCAUUAGAAAAGCAAAGACAAGAAAAAGGGAAGAGGAAAGCAAGUGAAGGUAUUGAAACAUAUUUUGCUCCAAAGACUACUCCUGGAUCUCAACCUAGUUGAAAGAGUGCUUUAGCUGGUAAACAAGCAAUAAAGAGAGCCCAUAUGUCUUGGGCUAGGUGGUUUUAUGAUGUUUGCAUUCCAUUUAAUGCUUUGCAAUCACCUUACUUUCAACUUGCUUUAGAUACCACUGCUGCAAUUAGUCUAGGAUUUAAAGGUCCUUCUCAUAAUGACAUUCGCGUUAAUUUGUUGAGAGAUUACAAGAAAGAAUGCCCAUUGUUUGUUGACACAUAUCGAAGUCAGUGGAUAAAUAAUGGAUGCGCAAUUAUGGCCGAUGGUUGGACAGAUCAAAGACAUAGAACUUUGAUUAAUUUUUUAGUAUAUUGCUCUUCUGGGAUUAUAUUUAUAAAAUCUUAUGAUGCACCAGAUGUAGUGAAAGAUGCUCAAACAUUGUGUAAUUUAUUUUUUGAGAUAGUUGAAUGAGUUGGACCUCGUAAUGUAGUUCAUAUGGUAACUGAUAAUGCAGCAACUAUGUGGCGAUAGGGAAAUUAUUGCAUGACAGAUAUGAUCACAUUUUUUGGUCUUCUUGUGCUGCACAUUGUUUGAAUCUUAUUCUAAAAUAUAUUAGUAGUAUGCCUCACGUACAUUCACUUGCAGUAUGUGCUUUGAAAAUUACAAUAUUUGUGUAUAAUCACACAAUUUUUUUGUCUUGGUUGAGAAAAGUACCUGAACGGAGAGAAAUUGUACGUCCAGCUAUGACUCAUUUUGCUACCAUUUUUAUUACAUUGAAAUGCAUUUAUGAUCACAAACAAUUAUCGCAGAGUUUGGCAACAAGUAGGCAUUUUACAAGCCAUAGGCUUUCAAAAAGUGCAAAUGGAAGACUCGUGAGUUCUAUCAUCUUAGAUAACAAAUUUUGGGAGGAUUGCUUGAUGAUUGUGAAAAUUGUGGCUCCUAUUAUAAGAUUGUUACGAAUUGUACAUUCAGAUGAAAAACCUUCAUUGGUUUAUGUAUAUAAUGGCAUGCGUAGGACACGAAAAGGAAUCAAGAAUAUAUUAUUAAGUAAGAAGAGAUUGUACAAACCUUCCACUGAUAUAAUUAAAGAGCGAUGGGAUAAACAUCUUCGCUACUUAACAUACAUGCAACAACUUAUUUUUUUAAUCCUGCUUUUAUUUAUGAAGAAGGAUUUUGUCAAAAAAUAGAAGUCAUGAAAGGUCUAUUCAAUUUGCUUGAAAUCAAAAGCAUUUGUGGUGAUGAGACAAAAGCAAUGGGGGAGAUAAGGAUGUAUCGAGAACGUGAAUGGAGUUUUCGAAGGCAAUCUGCAUAAGAAUGGUGGAAAUCGUGUGGAUCUAGUGCUCCUACCUUACAAAAGAUAGCUGUUUGAAUUCUUGGUCAAGCAGCUUCUUCUUCGGGAUGUGAAAGGAAUUGGAGCGUCUUUGAACGUAUUCACACGGAAAAAAAGAAAUAGAUUGGAGCAUCAAAGACUCAACGAUCUUGUGUAUAUUACGUAUAAUUUGCGAUUAAAGAAUAGACGAUAUUAUAAGAAGAGAUCUUAUGAUUCAGUUGAUUAUGAAUGUAUUGAAAAAAUAAACUUUUGGAUAGAAGAAGAAGUGCCACCACAGGAUUUCGAGUAUGAAGAAUUAAAUAAUGCUAUUUAUGAAGAAAAUGCAAUUUCCAAUGUCAAUGAUCAUGAAGAUGACAAUGUUCAAGAUGACACUGAAAAUAACGAUGAGAUGAAUACUCAAGAGAUGGGAGAUUUAGACACGAUGGAUGUUAUUCAUCAUUUUCGUGGUUCAAGUGAUUGUAGAAGUGAUCAAGGAUUAAAGGCUUAUGGAUGAAAAUGACAAAGACGAAAUUUAACUAUUUAAUUUUUUAUGUUUAGUACACUUUUUGGUUUCAAUUAUUACUUGACAUUUUUUCAUUGGUGACAGUUGAUGUGAAACUUCUAAAUUUUAGCUAUUUAAGUUGUCAUGUUAUUCAA